ACAUGGAUGCACAUCACUCUUCUGCAGAGUGACCCCGUGACCAGCAGGAGCCCGACAGAGUCCCAGACGCCCCUGAUGGACUGCGUGGGUGGAGUCUGCAGGCGUGUUCUGCUGCGUGCGGUUGCCCCUAGAGCAGAACGUCUCACAUGUGGACUGCAUUAACUUUGCGGUCUGUCCUCUGGAAUCGCUGUCCUUUCAACAAUCAGACUCUGCUGUGAUUUCCUUUUUCAGUAACUAUCAAACCAUUAACUUAUCCUCCUCUCUAACCAAGCGCUAUCAGACGGCCGUAAUCAAAUCGUCCCCAUCUCGGUCUUUGACUGUGACAUCGGAGAUCAUACCAUCACAAAAUGGUGUGGCUGGAUUUGGCAGUUUGGUCUCUGUUGGAGUUAAUGUGGUUUGCAGUUAUAUGUAGUGGAAAUUUCCCCCGUUCGCAUUCCGCAUUGAUAAAGCAGUCGUCUGUUUUUAACAUUCCUGCUUGGAUUCCAGUGGUCCCUUCGCUUCCGUUAGCCAGUCUGUUGAAUGUCUUCAGAAUAAGCCGAUCUUGGCACCUGCUGUUUAGGUGUCAGCUGUUUCUUUAAAUUGCAAAUGGACGUUGGGCUAAGCCCCCUUUAACCUGUUCAAACUGAAAUGCUAAUUUAUAUCAAGAACCUUGUUUGUAGGAGCUAGGAGGACUGGCACGUUUGUAUCAGGACGGUCUUCCAAUCUUACGAAAAAAAUAAAUAAAUUCGCUCAAUGCUGGGAGAGCCAGGAGAAGAGAAAUCAAUUGUCGCCUAAGGAGGUGAGGACUCGCGCUCGACGAACGCCACGAUAAAUCGCCAGCGGCGACGUGCCCCCGCAUCUGAGUCUGCAGCUUUAAUUAGAGCCGGUGACAUUUGAACUGCUCCGGUUUGUUCUGGAGCCCGGGCCUUUGUCAAACGGCCGUCCGCAGUGCCAGAUGCACUGGAGCGGGGCGGGAAUACGGAAUGUCACACCUAUCCAAAGUCAACACCCUGCCGGCACUAGCGCGCUGGAGGAAUUUCCGCGUUUUCUGCCGAGUGCUCUUCCUUGUUUUUCUGUGAUAUACACACAUCACGGCCGACCCCUCUACGUAGCCUAAUACGUAGACUUGGCUCCUGUUCUCAAUUUGGCGAGGGGGGGCCCCACUUUUCCAUCACGGGAGCCAAACCGUGGAGAAUGAGCCAAGAAUAUUCUAAGAAUGUAGAGUAAGUUAUAUUUCACUUACCUAAUUGCAACCAGCACAUUUAUUUAAAGCAAGUUUGGGACUGGAUCUCUUGGAAAGAGAUCUACUGCUGAACCAAUCAAUUCGCAGGAAGCGGCCGGCAACAGGUUAAUUUCUGCAGGAUGACAGCAGAGAGGAACUGUGAGACAUUUCAUGCCGCACAUGAACAUCUCUGAGUGAGAAAUAAAUGUUCAUUUGACUGGCUUGUACAAUGAGACCUCUUGGACCUAUUGGCCAAUCAACAGCUCCUUAGAGCAGCUGCAGUGAUGCUGGGGCCUGUUGCAGGAAGCAGAAGAUACAAGGCAUGGAGACACCAUGGAUAGGACACCAAUAACUAGAGCUUCUUAAGAUUCGGUGAACGGUUCUGGUUAGGACUAACUGUUUCGCAAGCUGUUCACACCUCAGCCUGAAUUCUCGGUCACCGUGUGAAGGAUGGGGACACGGCGAUGCCGGGAACCGCACUGAAUGUGUGGGCCAUGUGACCGAGACAGUCACCAAACCAGAUCUUCAGCCAAACGGGAUUUGAAGACCUCGGGAGGAGAAAAAUCCUUAAGAACAGGAGACUGACCAUAUCUUUCCCUCUCUCACUGUCCACCAAAGCAUAAUUAUAUGUCAUCAGUGUGACUCUUCAUUUUUACUGAGGCCUUCACACAUGGAUGAGCUGGCAGCUGGGAGAUCGACUUUUUCAAGUUUCUUUAAUUGCAGAAUGUGUGGGUCAUGUGACUGGGACAGUGUGAGUGUCCUGCUUUGUUUAUUUCUGUUGGGGUUAGGACACAGUUAGACGGUAGAAUCUCAGAAGAAUCUCAGGAAUUGCAACAGUGGUUGUACUCUAAUUAUUGAAUCAUUAAUUUAAUACACAAUUGCUUGAUCAUUUAUUGGUAUGCAGACACAAGAGGCUGCAGUAGAUUGGAACUCACACACUAUGCAUCUCAAUUAAUAUAGACGUUGCUCUCAAAAGCCACACGAAGAGAAAGUAGCUGCUGCGUUCAAAAGCUUUAAAUGGCAGAAGAUAGUUAAAGCAAAGACCACAUCACAUGGGGAGAGCUAUGCUUGCAACUUGUAAUUAUGUUUGAAUUGUGGUAACCAGAAAUAAUUACUUCUAUUUUUUUUUUUUGCAGCGAUUCACAUAGUCUGAGAUACAAGUCUGCUUCACAUGGUUCCACUUUGCAAGCUUUCAGGGAAACAAACAAAUUGCCCCCAAUUGGUUGAGCAGACAUUUUGACCCGAGGGCUAGACGUACGAUCAAUAAUGGGUGGCAAAUGGAAACUGUUAUUUAAGCCGGCUUUAAUAGCUGAUUCAUGGUUCCUCUUUGGAACUUUAAUAAAACGUUUAUAUGGCUGUGCGGCAUCGGUAUAUUGAAAUGUGGCGAAGGCUCGACUGCAUGGGGUGUAUAAAGUCUUUCUGGAGGUCUAACCGACGAGGAAAAGCUAUACAACAUGAAACAGUAGUCAUCAGAAGAUUUAGCCGCUAAUUCGGCAUCUGUACUACAUUAUAAAUAAAAGCCAGAACGUUCAGAGUAGUUCAGAAUAGUGGGAUUUUGAGUAUGAAAGCAUUUGUAUUGCAGCUAACAGCCUGUCUUUGUCAUGGCGGCUACAAUUAAACCUCUGAUAGCUCUGGUACCGCUGUUAGAGCUGUGAUCUCACCACGGUGUUACUUUAUUAAACAGGUGUGUAGGCUUUCUGAAAGGAGCCUCUGACUGCCAGAACUGUCCCGACAUGGAGUGACUUUUUUUUUAUUUAAUUUUUUUUUCAAUAGAGCGAACUGUGUUGUUAUUGUUCUGUUCAUCUUGGGGGGCCCAGACCAACGAGACCUGAAAAGAAGGUUCCAGAAGAAGGGUCCCCUUUGCUGGAUCGCAGAGGGUAAAGCGUUGGUGGAGGCUGCCAGGUCACAUCUCUCUCCCACACGCCUUUUCUCUGCUUUUCUCCAGGGCAGAGUCACAGUGGUUUUCUCAGUCUGGACCUGGGGCUGCAGGGGACACCUUUGUUUUUGUGAUAAUUUUGUGUCUCUGAGAGCAUUAAUACAUUUUCUACAUAUACUUGCUGGGUGCAGGUGUACCAAUGAUACCAAUGAUAAUGUCAUUAAUGCAUAUACCAAAUUCCAAUACAGCACCUGCCUAGUAUCAGACUUACACAAAUAUAAAAAUAUAUAGACUGAAAACAUAUACUGAAAUAUAGUACGCUGAUUGUUUUUGUUUUCCAUUUAUUUCACAAUACAUG